AGAUUGAACGCUGGCGGCAUGCCUUACACAUGCAAGUCGAACGGCAGCACGGGAGCAAUCCUGGUGGCGAGUGGCGAACGGGUGAGUAAUACAUCGGAACGUGCCCAGUAGUGGGGGAUAACCCGGCGAAAGCCGGACUAAUACCGCAUACGACCUACGGGUGAAAGCAGGGGAUCGCAAGACCUUGCGUUAUUGGAGCGGCCGAUGUCAGAUUAGCUUGUUGGCGGGUAAAAGCCCACCAAGGCGACGAUCGGUAGCUGGUCUGAGAGGACGAUCAGCCACACUGGGAUUGAGAACGGCCCAGACUCCUACGGGGGCAGCAGUGAGGAAUUUUCCGCAAUGGGCGCAAGCCUGACGGAGCAACGCCGCGUGCAGGAAGACGGUUUUCGGAUCGUAAACUGCUUUUCUCGGGGACGAGAACCGGACGGUACCCGAGGAAUCGACGCCCCGGCUAACUACGUGCCAGCAGCCGC
rnacentral:rRNA from 1 species